GCAAACUUGGUCAUUUAGAGGAAGUAAAAGUCGUAACAAGGUAACCGUAGGUGAACCUGCGGUUGGAUCAUUACAGAAAUGGACGUGGCUUCGGCCCGCCUGCGUACUCACUCGAAAGGGUGCAGUGCGUGGUAAAUCCAAACAUUCUUGUGCACUGUUUUUGUCUCUGGCGGCGGGGUGAGAUUUGGCUUACGCAAGUCUGCCCAAAGCUCACCUGUCAGCCUGGCUGGGUAACCUCCAGGCCGUGGACAAACCGCCAAUUGUUCAAACAAACCUAUGCUAUCACCUUUAUUGUCUGACAUCAAUUUGUAUCUUAAUAUACAAACAACUUUUGGCAACGGAUCUCUUGGCUCUCGCAUCGAUGAAGAACGCAGC
rnacentral:misc_RNA from 1 species